CAGAGGGUGCGAGCGUUAAUCGGAGUUACUGGGCGUAAAGGGUGCGUAGGCGGUACGGUGUGAGAGAUGUGAAAGCCCCGGGCUUAACCUGGGAAGAGCGUCUUUAACUACCGAACUAGAGUACAUCAGAGGGUGGCGGAAUUUCCGGUGCAGCGGUGAAAUGCGUAGAGAUCGGAAGGAACGCCGGUGGCGAAGGUGGCCACCUGGGGUGAUACUGACGCUGAGGCACGAAAGCGUGGGGAGCGAACAGGAUUAGAUACCCUGGUAGUCCACGCUGUAAACGAUGAGAACUAGAUGUGUGUGGGGCGACCCAUGCGUAUCGAAGCUAACGCGAUAAGUUCUCCGCCUGGGGAGUACGGCCGCAAGGUUG
rnacentral:rRNA from 1 species